rnacentral:lncRNA from 1 species
CGGGUCCAGCGGUCGCGCGCGCCCUGGAGUCCUGUCCUGGUUCUGGCGGCUGAGGGCCGGGUGGCGCAGGCGGCCUCCGGCUGUGCCCAUGGGAACUAAAACCUUCGGUUCUAGAAGAGCCGGGGGAGAGGCUCCGGGAAGACCGAAUUCUUCAGAAAUCGCAGAGAGACCUUGGACCGGAUCCUUCCCUGCAGGGCUGCGUCGGGGAAGCGCCGGCACAAGUAUAUUCAGCGACUUCCUUGGAAGCGCCUACGUUAGAAUACUACAAACUUACAAGCUAGUUGAUCAGUUUACCUCCCACUAGAAAAGACAGUAUGGGAAGGCAGAGGCCGCGUGGCCUGGACCCCCGUCUUUGCUGUCAGGCUUCCAGAGUGAAGCCUCUCCUUCCUGGAAAUUGCCAUCACCAGCGGCCAUAGCACCCCCAUGGGACCUGGGGGAUGGAGUUGGAAGCCCCCUCCGGCAACACUGGCCAGAUUGGAGAGACCAGCAGGGAAGCUCCCUCCUACCCCCAGGGAGGCUGAAGCCAGCUCUCCAUGGGCACGAAACCUGGAACCCAGGACCCUGGGGGGCAGCCCUGCCCUCCUCGCUCUUCACCCCACUUCAGAGAACUGUGACCCACUGGAGGCUGGGAUUUGAGAUGAGAGGUCACCCUCGGAGUUGGCUCCAGCUGCUGCCUCUGCCUGGGACCCCUCCUUGGGAGUUGGGUGGCAGGGCCUUGCUGGGGGCACUUCCCUUCGCAUCUGGAUUUUGGCCUCGGGCCCAGGGCUAUGGGGGUUUCCAGAGUGGUGACAGCCUUGUCCUAGCAGGGACCAGCCCAAGCACUUCCUCCCAGAGCCCUCUGGGAGCGUCCCAGCCCCAAGGCUGUCAUUUUGUCGUAGGGAGUAAAUUGUGGAGUCAGCAGAGGCUGUCUUCCACACUUUCUGUGCCUUCCAGGUAUCCUGUCAUUCCUCAUUCUGAAAACCUAGGCUUGCAUCUCUCUUGUGCCUAGGGCUAUGCUGGACUAGAGAAGACACAGGUGGCCAAAGCUGGACCCAGCCCUCAGGGAACAGAUAACCUGCGUGAGAAACAAAUAAUUGAUUCUGCCCUUUAUCCCUCCCGGGCCAGCACGGAGGGGUUCAGCCAAUGACUGGGAAUUGAAUGAAAAACCAAAGAGAACAGCCAUGAGAUCUGUCUGCUAUGGGUGGGAAAGCAGAUGGGAGAGUGAGAAGGGCUUCAAGGAGAAGGUGAUAUGUGAACAGGGCAUAAAUGGAUGAAUAGGAGUUUGCCAGGCACAGAAAGGGAAGGACAUUCCAGGGGAAGCAGGCAGAGGCCUGGCAAGGCAAAGGCCAGGAGGAUUGCAAGUAAAGUCAUGGUAUGAGCAGAAAACAAGAGAGGUCCAGUUGCCCAUGGCAUAGGAGAGGGGACAGGCCAAGAGGGUAGUGGGUAAGCACUGUUUUCCCUGCCCAGCAUCCAUCUCUCACUCUGGUGACUGUCCCUCAGUUUUCUAGUCUCCAGUGUGACUGGCCCCCAACCCUCAAGCUCUAAAAGUGGGUUUGAGUCCUGUGCCUAGCCAGUCUGAGUCAUGGGAAUGGCUCCAGCAUAUGACAUCAGAGAGCAUCAGCCCAGGAACUUGAUGGGACUGUUAGGGUCACAAAUGUCAAGAUGCCAGCCCAGAGCUGCUGGUGGCCAGCUCUGCCACCCUAAGGGGGGAGCCUGCCUAAGAAUAAGGCCAACAUAGAAGAAAACAGCACCAAGAGAAUGAAUCUCAAUGACAUUGCCUGUGCUCCUGGAUCCAGUCAUGCCUGAAGCAGUUUCUAUUCUACGAGCCAACAAAUUCCAGUUUUGGCUUAAUACAGUUAGGGUUGGGUCUGUCACUUGCCACUGAGAAUGAAGGGCCCAUUGCAGAAUAGCUAAAGGCAGGUGAUCACUCAUGAGAGUUGCCGAGUGCUGUGGGAAAGGCAACGAUGAUCUGUGUGUAGAGGUACAACACCAUCAGAACUGCAUUUUCUUUCAUUUAAAUUACUUUUUGAGGCCGGGUGCGGUGGCUCACGCCUGUAAUCCCAGCACUUUG